AGUGAACGCUGGCGGCAGGCCUAAUACAUGCAAGUCGAACGGCAGCACAGUGGAGCUUGCUCCAUGGGUGGCGAGUGGCGGACGGGUGAGGAAUACAUGGGAAUCUGCCCAGUCGUGGGGGAUAACGUAUGGAAACGUACGCUAAUACCGCAUGCGCCCUUCGGGGAAAGUCGGGGACCGCAAGGCCUGACGCGAUUGGAUGAGCCCAUGUUCGAUUAGCUAGUUGGCGGGGUAACGGCCCACCAAGGCGACGAUCGAUAGCUGGUCUGAGAGGAUGAUCAGCCACACUGGAACUGAGACACGGUCCAGACUCCUACGGGAGGCAGCAGUAGGGAAUAUUGGACAAUGGGCGCAAGCCUGAUCCAGCCAUGCCGCGUGAGUGAAGAAGGCCCUCGGGUUGUAAAGCUCUUUGUUGGGGAAGAAAAGCAGUUGGUUAAUACCCGAUUGUUCUGACGGUACCCAAGAAUAAGCACCGGCUAACUUCGUGCCAGCAGCCG
rnacentral:rRNA from 1 species